rnacentral:rRNA from 1 species
UACGAAGGGUGCAAACGUUGCUCGGAAUUAUUGGGCGUAAAGCGCACGUAGGCGGCAUUGCAAGUCGGAUGUGAAAUCUUAUGGCUUAACCAUAAAAGUGCAUCCGAAACUGCAGUGCUUGAGUACUUAAGAGGAUCGCGGAAUUCCUGGUGUAGCGGUGAAAUGCGUAGAUAUCUGGAGGAACACCGGUGGCGAAGGCGGCAUCCUGGACCGGUAUUGACGCUGAGGCGCGAAAGCUAGGGGAGCAAACGGG